UCAUUUUGGCAGUGCACAUAUUAAAAUUGGAGUGAUACAAAUAAGGUUAGCAUGACCCCUGCACAAGGAGGACAAAGAUAAUUCACGAAGCAUUCCACAUUUUG